GGUAGUUUGACUGGGGCGGUCUCCUCCUAAAGAGUAACGGAGGAGCACGAAGGUUGGCUAAUCCUGGUCGGACAUCAGGAGGUUAGUGCAAUGGCAUAAGCCAGCUUGACUGCGAGCGUGACGGCGCGAGCAGGUGCGAAAGCAGGUCAUAGUGAUCCGGUGGUUCUGAAUGGAAGGGCCAUCGCUCAACGGAUAAAAGGUACUCCGGGGAUAACAGGCUGAUACCGCCCAAGAGUUCAUAUCGACGGCGGUGUUUGGCACCUCGAUGUCGGCUCAUCACAUCCUGGGGCUGAAGUAGGUCCCAAGGGUAUGGCUGUUCGCCAUUUAAAGUGGUACGCGAGCUGGGUUUAGAACGUCGUGAGACAGUUCGGUCCCUAUCUGCCGUGGGCGCUGGAGAAUUGAGGGGGGCUGCUCCUAGUACGAGAGGACCGGAGUGGACGCAUCACUGGUGUUCGGGUUGUCAUGCCAAUGGCACUGCCCGGUAGCUAAAUGCGGAAGAGAUAAGUGCUGAAAGCAUCUAAGCACGAAACUUGCCCCGAGAUGAGUUCUCCCUGACCCUUUAAGGGUCCUGAAGGAACGUUGAAGACGACGACGUUGAUAGGCCGGGUGUGUAAGCGCAGCGAUGCGUUGAGCUAACCGGUACUAAUGAACCGUGAGGCUUAACCUUACAACGCCGAAGGUGUUU
rnacentral:rRNA from 1 species